rnacentral:rRNA from 1 species
GUGGGGAAUCUUGCGCAAUGGGCGAAAGCCUGACGCAGCCAUGCCGCGUGAAUGAUGAAGGUCUUAGGAUUGUAAAAUUCUUUCACCGGGGACGAUAAUGACGGUACCCGGAGAAGAAGCUCCGGCUAACUUCGUGCCAGCAGCCGCGGUAAUACGAAGGGGGCUAGCGUUGCUCGGAAUUACUGGGCGUAAAGGGCGCGUCGGCGGACAGCUUAGUCAGAGGUGAAAGCCCAGGGCUCAACCUUGGAAUUGCCUUUGCUACUGGCUGUCUUGAGUUUGGGAGAGGUGAGUGGAACUCCGAGUGUAGAGGUGAAAUUCGUAGAUAUUCGGAAGAACACCAGUGGCGAAGGCGACUCACUGGCCCAAUACUGACGCUGAGGCGCGAAAGCGUGGGGAGCAAACAGGAUUAGAAACCCCAGUAGUCC